GAUGAACGCUAGCUACAGGCUUAACACAUGCAAGUCGAGGGGCAGCAUGUUGGUUGCUUGCAACCAAUGAUGGCGACCGGCGCACGGGUGAGUAACGCGUAUCCAACCUUCCCUAUAGUAGAGGAUAGCCCGGCGAAAGUCGGAUUAAUACUCUAUGUUUUCCAAUGCAGACAUCUAAAAUGGAACAAAGGUUCACCGCUAUAGGAUGGGGAUGCGUCUGAUUAGAUAGUCGGCGGGGUAACGGCCCACCGAGUCGACGAUCAGUAGGGGUUCUGAGAGGAAGGUCCCCCACAUUGGAACUGAGACACGGUCCAAACUCC
rnacentral:rRNA from 1 species